rfam:Glossina palpalis gambiensis isolate 146720 unplaced genomic scaffold Scaffold119, whole genome shotgun sequence.
GGGGGCUGAUUUUUAGUACGUAUGUGCAAUGGGCGGCGAAUUGUGCAUGCUGCUAUUAAGAACCAGCAGUAUCUUUUGAAAAUUUUCUACCUCC